rnacentral:rRNA from 1 species
CUCCAGACUCCUACGGGAGGCAGCAGUGGGGAAUAUUGCACAAUGGGGGGAACCCUGAUGCAGCGACGCCGCGUGGGCGAGGAAGUAUUUCGGUAUGUAAAGCCCUAUCGGCAGGGAAGAAGAAAUGACGGUACCUGAAUAAGAAGCACCGGCCAAAUACGUGCCAGCAGCCGCGGUAAUACGUAUGGGGCAAGCGUUAUCCGGAUUUACUGGGCGUAAAGGGAGCGCAGGCGGCGCGCCAAGUCUGAUGUGGAACCCCGGGGCUCAACCCCGGGCAUGCAUUGGAAACUGGCGGGCUGGAGUGCCGGAGAGGUAAGCGGAAUUCCUAGUGUAGCGGUGAAAUGCGUAGAUAUUACGAAGAACCCCGAUUGCGAAGGCAGCAUACCGGCUCCACACUGACGCUGAGGCACGAAAGCGUGGGUAUCGAACAGGAUUAGAUACCCGUGUAAA